UAAUAGUACUCACCUCAGAAGGCUGUUGUGAGAAUUAAAUAAUUCCUGUAAAGCAGGUAGCAGAGUGCUUGGCACAUAGCAUCCAGGAAAAACUGAGCGAGUUCUUGUGAAACUGAAGUACACUGAAGGUGUUUGCUAUUUAAAGGUAUCUUCUGGUGGAUCGUCUUGGAAAACAUGGACCCAAAUCUUGCGAGAGCUAUCAGUGAGUCUCCUCUCCUGCUCUGCAUCUCUCAGGACUGUGUCCCAGCUCCAGAAGAAUGAGCCUGCACAGCUUGGACUGUCACCUCUGGCAGGUUCCUGCUCUUUGAUGAAGCCUCGUCAUAAUUACAGGUGUUUGAAAGUUCCUCCAUUGAUCUUCUCUCUCCUGCUGCCUUGUCAAGAAGGUGCCUGCUUCCCCUUUGCCUUGCACCAUGAUUCUAAGUUUCCUGAGGCCUCCCCAGCCAUGUAAAACUAGCCUUAUCUUCAACAGCUGCUAAAAUUGAAGAACAAAAAGAAUCUUUGAAACUUCCCUUCAACUGGUCAUCCUCUUCCCUUUUUCUCUCCUUUAAACACUGUUCCAAUUCAUUAUGAUGGCCCCAAAGCAAAGACAGACAUGGAAGUGAACAUUGGAGUGGAAGGAAUGACGGGGAGCAAAGGUCUGCUUUCUUUCUAUCAUUCUUGUAUCAACUCUAAAUUGAAACCCAAAUCACUGAAAUCUAAAAAAUCACAUGAAAGCAAGUCAAUGACUAAAAGAAAAUGAAAUGAGAGAUCCUAUCAGAGAAAUAUGAAAGGGAAAAUACCACUGAUUAAAUAAGUUAUGGGAAAAAUAAAUCAUUACACCAUUAAAUGUAUACGUCGACAUACUGUAUGUUGUUAUGUGCUUAUUGUCUUUCACCAGUAGAAUGUAAGUCCCAUAAGGGUAAGGACUUUAUAUAUUCUUUUCACAGCAGUGUCUCUAGUGCAUGGAACAGUUCCUAGCACAAAAUAAACAGUUGUUGAAUAAGUGAA
rnacentral:lncRNA from 1 species